rnacentral:rRNA from 4 species
AUCCGGGUUGCGGACAGUGUCUGGUGGGUAGUUUGACUGGGGCGGUCUCCUCCCAAAGAGUAACGGAGGAGCACGAAGGUUGGCUAAUCCUGGUCGGACAUCAGGAGGUUAGUGCAAUGGCAUAAGCCAGCUUGACUGCGAGCGUGACGGCGCGAGCAGGUGCGAAAGCAGGUCAUAGUGAUCCGGUGGUUCUGAAUGGAAGGGCCAUCGCUCAACGGAUAAAAGGUACUCCGGGGAUAACAGGCUGAUACCGCCCAAGAGUUCAUAUCGACGGCGGUGUUUGGCACCUCGAUGUCGGCUCAUCACAUCCUGGGGCUGAAGUAGGUCCCAAGGGUAUGGCUGUUCGCCAUUUAAAGUGGUACGCGAGCUGGGUUUAGAACGUCGUGAGACAGUUCGGUCCCUAUCUGCCGUGGGCGCUGGAGAAUUGAGGGGGGCUGCUCCUAGUACGAGAGGACCGGAGUGGACGCAUCACUGGUGUUCGGGUUGUCAUGCCAAUGGCACUGCCCGGUAGCUAAAUGCGGAAGAGAUAAGUGCUGAAAGCAUCUAAGCACGAAACUUGCCCCGAGAUGAGUUCUCCCUGAGACUUUAAGUCUCCUGAAGGAACGUUGAAGACGACGACGUUGAUAGGUCGGGUGUGUAAGCGCAGCGAUGCGUUGAGCUAACCGAUACUAAUGAACCGUGAGGCUUAACCUU